rnacentral:rRNA from 1 species
CAAGAGCCUGACCCCCAACGACGAGACUGAGACACGGCUCGUACUCCUACGGGAGGCAGCAGUCGAGAAUAUUCGACAAUGGGCGAAAGCCUGAUCGAGCGACACCGCGUGCAGGAUGAAGGCCUUCGGGUCGUAAACUGCAGUAACCCCGCAGUAAUGCAAAUGAACGCGGGGCGAGAAGAGGUGGGUAACUACGUGCCAGCACCAGCGGUAAUACGUAGACCUCAAGCGUUAUCCGGAUUUAUUGGGCGUAAAGCGCAUGUAGGAGGUUUUGUGCGUCCUUGGUUAAAGCCCACCGCUCAACGGUGGAAGUGCCCGGGAUACGGCAGAACUAGAGGGAGUUAGAGGUGGUGGGGAGCAAAAAGGAUUAGAUACCCUUGUAGUCCACGCCCUAAACGAUGCCUGUUAGCUGUUUCGAGUAUCGACCCUCGGGGUGGCGUAGCUAACGCGUUAAACAGGCCGCCUGGGAAGUACGAGCGCAAGCUUAAAACUCAAAGGAAUAGACGGGGACUCGCACAAGCGGUGGAACAUGAGGUUUAAUUCGACGGUACGCGAGGAACCUUACCAGGGUUUGAAAUUCUAGGUGAAAGCCGGUGGAAACAUUGGCCCUCUCUCAAGGACACCUAGUUCAGGUGCUGCAUGGUUGUCGUCAGCUCGUGCCGUGAGGCGUUCCCUUAAUUGGGGUAACGAGCGCAACCCCUGCUCCGUGUUACAAGUGUCACGGGGAACUGCCCAGCUCAAAGAAUAGUAGAUAGGUUACAGGUUAAAGGUUUUAGUGGAAUUCACUAUCACCUACAACCUAUCACCUACAACCUAGUAUUUUUUGAGCUGGGAGGAAGGAGGGGAUGACGUCAAAUCCGCAUGGCCCUUUGAUACCCUGGGCUACACUCAUGUUACAAUGGUCAAGACAGCGGGCUGCCAAGCCGUAAGGCGGAGCCAAUCUCUAAAACUUGACCCCAGUUCGGAUUGGGGGCUGCAACUCGCCCCCAUGAAGCCGGAAUCGCUAGUAAUCGCGGAUCAGCAACGCCGCGGUGAAUACGUUCUCGAGUCCUGUACUCACCGCCCGUCACGCCAAGGGAGCCGGUAAUAGGUGAAGUUCGUUUACGCGAAUCAGCCUAGGAUCGGUGACAUGGGCGAAGUCGUAACAAGGCACGCGUAGCGGAAGCUGUGCGUGAAUCAA